rnacentral:rRNA from 1 species
UACGUAGGUGGCAAGCGUUGUCCGGAAUUACUGGGCGUAAAGAGCGCGCAGGCGGCUGGUCAAGUCCGAUGUGAAAGCUCCCGGCUUAACUGGGAAAUUGCAUCGGAAACUGAUCGGCUUGAAGGUGGGAGAGGGUAGUGGAAUUCCCGGUGUAGUGGUGAAAUGCGUAGAUAUCGGGAGGAACACCAGUGGCGAAGGCGACUACCUGGCCCACUCUUGACGCUGAGGCGCGAAAGCUAGGGGAGCGGACAGG